AUACUUACCUGGCAGGGGAGAUACCAUGAUCACGAAAGUGGUUUUCCCAGGGCGAGGCUUAUCCAUUGCACUCCGGAUGUGCUGACCCCUGCGAUUUCCCCAAAUGUGGGAAACUCGACUGCACAAUUUGUGGUAGUGGGGGACUGCGUUCACGCGCUCCCCUG
ensembl:snRNA U1 U1 spliceosomal RNA